rnacentral:lncRNA from 1 species
UCGGAGGCUGCUGAGGCUUCUGUAAGCAUAGAGGCUAAAGGCUAUGGUUUUGGGGUUUGAGGCAUAUUUUGGUCUAGGCUUAGGCUAGUUGGGUUAGGGGUUUGUUUAAUUUUGGGCUUAGUUUGUUAAGCAUUGGGCUGUAUUUUGUUUGUAAUCUGGACAUUAUUUUUUUGGACCAUUGUUUGUUUUAUCUGAUUUAUGGGCCGGGCAAAAAUGG